ACGAACGCUGGCGGCACGCCUAACACAUGCAAGUCGAACGAGAACUCCCACUUCGGUGGGAAAUUCUAGUGGCGGACGGGUGAGUAACGCGUAGGAACCUACCUUUCGGUGGGGAAUAACGACGGGAAACUGUCGCUAAUACCCCAUACGCCCUGCAUAUAUAUGUUGUCCUUCGGGACAGUAUGUACAUGCAGGGGAAAGUUUUUCGCCGAUAGAGGGGCCUGCGUCAGAUUAGGUAGUUGGUAGGGUAAAGGCCUACCAAGCCUAUGAUCUGUAGCUGGUUUGAGAGGAUGAUCAGCCACACUGGGACUGAGACACGGCCCAGACUCCUACGGGAGGCAGCAGUGGGGAAUAUUGGACAAUGGGGGAAACCCUGAUCCAGCGAUGCCGCGUGAGUGAAGAAGGCCCUAGGGUUGUAAAGCUCUUUCAACUGUGAAGAUGAUGACGGUAGCAGUAGAAGAAGCCCCGGCUAACUCCGUGCCAGCAGCCGCGGUAAG
rnacentral:rRNA from 1 species